rnacentral:rRNA from 1 species
UACGAAGGGGGCUAGCGUUGCUCGGAAUCACUGGGCGUAAAGGGUGCGUAGGCGGGUCUUUUAAGUCAGGGGUGAAAUCCUGGAGCUCAACUCCAGAACUGCCUUUGAUACUGAAGAUCUUGAGUUCGGGAGAGGUGAGUGGAACUGCGAGUGUAGAGGUGAAAUUCGUAGAUAUUCGGAAGAACACCAGUGGCGAAGGCGGCUCACUGGACCGGUAUUGACGCUGAGGUGCGAAAGCGUGGGGAGCAAACAGGG